UACGAAGGGUGCAAGCGUUACUCGGAAUUACUGGGCGUAAAGCGUGCGUAGGUGGUUUGUUAAGUCUGAUGUGAAAGCCCUGGGCUCAACCUGGGAAUUGCACUGGAUACUGGCAGGCUAGAGUGCGGUAGAGGAUGGCGGAAUUCCCGGUGUAGCAGUGAAAUGCGUAGAGAUCGGAAGGAACAUCGGUGGCGAAAGCGGCGCGCUGGACCUCUUCUGACGCUGAGGCGCGAAAGCCAGGGGAGCAAACGGG
rnacentral:rRNA from 1 species